rnacentral:lncRNA from 12 species
CAAAUGCAGGGCUAAGUCAAAAUAUCCUGUUCUUCACUUUCCUGCUAUCCUGCCCCACUGUAGUCUUUCAUACCUUAAUUGACAUUGAUUCCAUGAUGUGCCCAUUCAUUCUAUUUUCCAGAUAAGGAAGUAGGCUCAGAGAGAUUAGCUAACUCACUUGAGUCACCAACUGGGUGGGCGAGGAGCUGAGUAGGAACUUGAAUCUAGGUUAGCUGGUUCAAAGCUCUGUGUUCUUAUCAGGUAACACAUUGACUCUGACCUGGAAACUCAUUUGGCCUCGAAACACACAGAGACUGGGGUCUUGGCUGAUUGCCUCCACCUAGCAGGUCCACCGUUGUAGAUGGCCCUAGAGGGGACCACCACAGAAGGGGGAUGAUGCCAAAGCUACACAUGAAGUCCUGCUCCAAUGCCCAUUCUCUGUAUGAUCUUUAGGUAAGUUCUUAAAGCCUCAGUUUCCUCAUCUGUGAAAUGGAAGUAAAACAAGAACCUGCCUUACAGCACUAUUGCUGGAUUAUAUGAGGUACCUUGCAGUAGGCAGUUAGCGGAGCUGACAUAGUAUAAGCACUCAGUAAUUACUAUCUAUAACAGGUCCAUGGUCUGUUAUCUGAUUCUGAAGUCAGAAAAGCUCUGAAAAUUGUAUAUGUGGUGUCAAAACUCAUUUGGAAGCGAAGCCUCUCCUGAAGUGAUGCAUAGCUAUAUUUAGAAACGCUAAUGAGGUAUUGCUGUGGAGCCGCUGGGGCUGUUACAUGAUGCAUUGUACACGCGUCACAUUGCCCAUC